rnacentral:tRNA from 3 species
GGCACUAUGGCCGAGUGGUUAAGGCGACAGAUUCGAAUCAAGUAGUAUCUGUUUGGGUUUCCCAGCGCAGGUUCAAAUCCUGCUGGUGUCG